UACGGAGGGUCCGAGCGUUAAUCGGAAUUACUGGGCGUAAAGCGUGCGCAGGCGGCUUUGCAAGACAGAUGUGAAAUCCCCGGGCUCAACCUGGGAACUGCAUUUGUGACUGCAUGGCUAGAGUGCGGCAGAGGGGGAUGGAAUUCCGCGUGUAGCAGUGAAAUGCGUAGAUAUGCGGAGGAACACCGAUGGCGAAGGCAAUCCCCUGGGCCUGCACCGACGCUCAUGCACGAAAGCGUGGGGAGCAAACAGG
rnacentral:rRNA from 1 species